UUUUUUUUUUUUUUUUUUUCUAGUGGUCAAAAGGCUUAUUUUAGUUUUUCUUGGUAGUAAUGAUUCAACCUUUCUUCUUUGUGAUAUCUAUGUUUAUAUUUGUUCUGCUCUAGUUGAAGCCUAACAGUGCUGCAUAAUAUUUGUCUUUGUAUGUAAAUAGAGGACUUGAGUUCUUAUCAAAAAACCAUUAAAGUUCUUGCCAGUCUUGAAAAGAGAACAGGGGAAGGGGAAACUAUUUAGGUCAUAGAUUGUCUCCAGGCUGGGGAACAUUAGAAUAGUGUGUCCUUUUCAAUGUCAAGAUUUGGGCUGUGCCUUAUAUUUCAUUGUCUUAAAGUGUUUGUUAUGCAGUUGUUUCUUUAAACUAAUGCUGUAGUGUACACAGCAUAAGUCUUGAGCUAUACCACUAACACUUUACAGAAAUUAAACAUUUCAUAGAAACAGAAGCACACUUAUGAAAAACAGAAACAAACAUUAUAGAAAUAAAACCCUUUAUAGAAACAAACAAACACUAGAAACCGAAAAGAAACAAAACAUUUUAUAGAAACAUAAAUAAAACGCUUUACAGAAACAAAAACAUUUCAUUGAAACAAAAAAAUAUAGAAGCAGAAAUAAAAAAUUUAUAGAAUCAGAAACAAACCAUUCUAUUGAAACAAAACACUGUAUGGAAUGUGUAAGUUCGUAUGUGUGAAGUUUGGGCAGCUAUUAGAAGAAAAAAAAAGGUUGGUUU